UGUCUUUUCCUAGCUGUUUAUUACUUAAAAUAUUUGAGAAAUUUUCAAAUUAUUUUACGCUUUAUUAUCUGAAGUUGAAAUAAUCAUAGAAAUUCUUUUCACUUUGAAGAUUCUAUCAAACGUUACGCCUUCUUACGAUCCGAAAUGCUUAGAAGAGAAAAGGUAAACUUUCUGGAUGGCAAGUUUAAAAAUGAAAAAACAAAAAAAAAUUUUUUGAAUAAAUUAAAGGAAUUUAAAAUAACAUUUGUUUCCGUCUGUUCGUACACUGUCUUAGCUGACGUCAUCCGCAUCGGCCAAUACCGACCAGGUAGGAGUGUAAACUUUUCUCACCUGCCCGACCGGUUUUUCUUAUGUAGUAGACCUCAACAGACAAACGCGCAAAAGCAUGGCCACUACACCGAUCUGCAGGUGUCGUGUCCUCUAUCUGGGAUCGUCCGUGCCUCAUAUAACCAAAGAUGGACUACAAGGUAUUCAAGAGCCAUUGAGAGAAUUAUAUCCCGAACAAGGACCGCUAAGUGCUCGUGGAAUAGACUCAUGGUUGAGUGUGUGGAGUAAUGGACUUUUGUUGGAAAAUGUGGACGAAUCACGACGUGAAGUCACGCGCUUUUUUCCGGUGGAAACUUUACAUUAUUGCGCUGCUGUUCGUUAUAUGGUGGUUCCUGGAAGUGGUGCACAAGGUGUGGAAAAAUUUCUUCCUUUGGAUAGUCCCUUUGGUCAUCGUGCCGGACAAAAUUCUGGUCAUCCUCCGCUCUUUGCUUGUAUUCUUAGAAGAACAGAAGGAAUCAAAGUAUUAGAAUGCCAUGCUUUUAUUUGUAAGAAAGAAGCUGCCGCCAAUGCAUUGGUUAGGUGUUGUUUUCACGCUUAUGCUGACAAUAUAUAUGCCCGUCAAAUGGAGGAAAAUCCUUAUUAUCUCGAUACAAGAAGAUCCAGAUCUAUGUCUGGCUUAAACACAUUGGAAAAAGUCGAGGAAUGGCGUAGAAGUCACGACGAGAAAUCAGAAUUUACUACCAAUGGAUUUACUAAUGGAAACGAUAUCAUAAGUGAUAAUUCACAGCAAGAUGAUAAUUAUAAAGUGUGGACUGGUAGACCACAUGUGGAAAAAGAGGCCAUCUAUUCUGAUGUGGGAGGCACUUUUCGUAGCAAUCAAUCUAUUACGGCUACUAAGAACAAACCUCGGCAGAUGAUAUUACCGUCUCGGCCUCCUCCUCCUUUACCGGUUGAAAACAAUAAAAUGAAACCAGCCAAGAAUCUCAAAUCCAAGCAGGAAUCAAUGUCACAGAUGACAAACGGUAAUUAUUACAGAUCAGUAUCUUCCAUGGGAAGACCACCUCGUCAUCAGAACCAGAUAUACGCUACAUCGGGUCUGUAUACAGAAAGAAGAAAUAAGCGGUUUGAUAGGGCUUAUUUACCUGCAGAAGAACCCUUAUAUAUGCCUUCUAUCAGACCUACAAGUCCAGUAUCAUCAUAUCAGCCAUCUGCAUUUCCACACGAGCAAUAUUACAUGCAAUUUAAUACUGCUCCUCGUCAUCAUUCUAGAACACCCAGAAGAAGAAGACAUAUAGGACCGGAAAGCCCUUCUGAGCCUUCUCAGUCGGAAGUGGAUUCUCCAUUUAAUACAGGAGUUCAAGAAACCCAAGCAGAAGUAACAAGGAUGAUGGCAUCCGUGGACCUCAAUGGAAGCGUAAUGAAUGGACAUGGAGGAAGAAAAAAACAUUCCAGUCAUAAAAAAUGAAAUACACUGCAAAAAUAUUUCACAUGUAAAAGUUUUAAACUUCCGUUUAAAAACUUUUAUAUUUGACUAUAUAACAACUAUAGAAUUUGGAACAUGCAAAGUUAAUUGGAGUGAAGAAAGUGAAAUGGUUUUGUAUGUAUCAGAAUCAAAACUAGUUUUAUCGAAUUUGGAACAAUUUAAUCUGGAAAAUACUAUAAUAUUAUGCUGUAGUAAAGUUUAUAUGAACUUGGCUUGGGGCAAAAAUUCUUUCUAAGAGGUGACUUCCUGAACCAACUUGCGCUGCAACUACGCCUAUGACGUCAUCUAAGAGGAAUGCGAAAUGCCGAAGCUAUUACUUGCGCUACAAAGUAGCGGUAUCUACAGAAAGAAAAUAGUUAUUUUUUUCUUCCUUUAUUUUUAGAGUUCGGGAUAUUUCCAACAAAAAUUAUUCCAAGAAUUUCAAGUUAUAGUUUCUUAAGGAAGAAACUAGUUGGCCCUACGCUCGAUGACGUUUUCCAUUGAGAAAUUCCACGAACGAUCAAGAACGGAAUUGUUUGAUUUCUUUCAAAGGAACAAAGUUUGUUUUUAUUUUGUAUAUGAAAAAUAAAAUUCCAUAUGUACAGGUACAACGUUCAUUUAUAAAAUGUAAAAGUAUACCCUCGAAAAUGUUUCUUAAACUUAAUUACUCAAUACUUGUACGACGUCUUGUAUCUUGUGUAUAAUAAUAACAAUUAAUAAUAAUAAU
rnacentral:misc_RNA from 1 species